GGAGGGCUAGCUCAGUGGCAGAGUGUGUGCCUGGCAUGCACGAAGCCCCGGGUUCAACCCCCAGUCCCUCUG
rnacentral:tRNA from 1 species